rnacentral:rRNA from 1 species
UUGAACGCUGGCGGCAUGCUUUACACAUGCAAGUCGAACGGUAACAGGGAGCUUGCUCCGCUGACGAGUGGCGAACGGGUGAGUAAUGCAUCGGAACGUGCCCGAUCGUGGGGGAUAACGCAGCGAAAGCUGCGCUAAUACCGCAUACGAUCUGAGGAUGAAAGCGGGGGACCGUAAGGCCUCGCGCGAUCGGAGCGGCCGAUGUCAGAUUAGGUAGUUGGUGGGGUAAAGGCUCACCAAGCCGACGAUCUGUAGCUGGUCUGAGAGGACGACCAGCCACACUGGGACUGAGACACGGCCCAGACUCCUACGGGAGGCAGCAGUGGGGAAUUUUGGACAAUGGGCGCAAGCCUGAUCCAGCAAUGCCGCGUGCAGGAAGAAGGCCUUCGGGUUGUAAACUGCUUUUGUACGGAGCGAAAAGGCUCUCUCUAAUACAGGGGGCUCAUGACGGUACCGUAAGAAUAAGCACCGGCUAACUACGU